UCCCUCGUAGCUCAGGGGUAGAGCACGUCACCGAUAAUGACGCUGUAGGUGGUUCGAGUCCAUCCGAGGGAGCCA
rnacentral:tRNA from 1 species